CAUUCUUUCUCUAGCUCUUUUGAAGAUAGAAAGAGAAAAGAAUAAAAGAAAGGGAAAUGGGGAAUUGUCAAGCUGUAGAUGCUGCAACACUAGUCAUACAGUACCCAAGUGGGAAAGUGGACAAGUUGUAUUGGCCUAUGAUUGCUGCUGAGGUUAUGAAGAUGAACCCUGGUCACUAUGUGGCUCUUCUCCUCUCCACUACCUUGUAUCCGACUCAUAAAAAUGGUGAAUGCCCCACCACCACCACCAUCACCACUACCACCACCACCACCACCAACAACAACAACAACUCUCUUCGGAUAACGAGAAUUAAGCUUCUCAAGCCUACGGAUACCCUUGUUCUNNNNNNNNNAGACUUAUCACUGCACAAGAGGUUAUGAAUGGGUUGUUGGCAAAGAAACAAGCAAAGCUGAAGAAAAC
rnacentral:misc_RNA from 1 species